rnacentral:rRNA from 1 species
GAUGAACGCUGGCGGCGUGCCUAAUACAUGCAAGUCGAGCGAACGGACGAGAAGCUUGCUUCUCUGAUGUUAGCGGCGGACGGGUGAGUAACACGUGGAUAACCUACCUAUAAGACUGGGAUAACCUCGGGAAACCGGAUCUAAUACCGGAUAAUAUUUUGAACCGCAUGGUUCAAAAGUGAAAGACGGUCUUGCUGUCACUUAUAGAUGGAUCCGCGCUGCAUUAGCUAGUUGGUGAGGUAACGGCUUACCAAGGGAACGAUGCAUAGCCGACCUGAGAGGGUGAUCGGCCACACUGGAACUGAGACACGGUCAAGACUCCUACGGGAGGCAGCAGUAGGGAAUCUUCGGCAAUGGGCGAAAGCCUGACGGAGCAACGCCGAGUGAGUGAUGAAGGUCUUCGGAUCGUAAAACUCUGUUAUUAGGGAAGAACAUAUGUGUAAGUAACUGUGCACAUCUUGACGGUACCUAAUCAGAAAGCCACGGCUAACUACGUG